rnacentral:rRNA from 1 species
GAUGAACGCUAGCGACAGGCUUAACACAUGCAAGUCGAGGGACCGGCGCACGGGUGAGUAACACGUAUCCAGCCUGCUCUUUACUCGGGGAUAGCCUUUCGAAAGAAAGAUUAAUACCCGAUAUAAUGGGUGGGGAUGCGUUCCAUUAGGGUGUUGGUGAGGUAACGGCUAGCCAAGCAUUCGCUGGCGAGGGGGUCUGAGAGUAAGGUCCCCCACAUUGGAACUGAGACACGGACUCAACUCCGACGGGCGGCAGCAGAGAGGAAGAUUGGUCACUGAGCGCUAGUCUGAACCAGCCAAGUAGCGUAAAGGAUGCUGGGUUAUGGGUCGUCAACUUCUUUGAUAUAAGAAUCUGUAUUAUAUGAAUAAGGAUCGGCUAACUCCGUGCCAGCAGCCGCGGUAAUUC